AGAAAGGUAAGCUAAAUAAAGCUACCAGGUUCAUACCCUGUUUAUAGAGAAAAACUCUCCUUUCUA
rnacentral:tRNA from 1 species